AACAAGUUUUGCAAUGCACACGAACUGGCUCAGUUGUGAAUGUCACAAAUGCUCCCCUAACGAGGAUCAAAUCAAUGAAAGGAUGGCCUUGAUAAAUAAUAUUCAUGAGGCGAAGAGGAAGUACCCAUACAUGAUGAGCUUUGAGAGGUGACUUUGCAAGACUGACUAAGAUUGACCCAUCACCUUGUAUUGCAAAAGGGAUCAACAAAAUUGUGAAAAUGGCAGAAAUGAAACACAUCCCUUGCGAAGCAAGUGUAAUGGCAUCACUUCAAAAGGCUCGUGAGAUGUCACCGGAGAGGCUGCGAACACGACGACCCGAGCGUUCCUGCAACCUCUUGCAUCAUAUUUUCUGGAGAAGACGUUGAAGAGGCUGACCUCCACAUCAAGGUGGACCGCGAGAUGUUUGCAGUGAAAAAUGGGGAGGAGGGGCUGGUGGCUGUUUUAUCUGCUUACUGGCUCUUCAAUAUCCAGUACGACCGCAAGCUGUCCAACACUCUUCUCGUGUUGGAGCGCCUUUUCCUUGGGCUCACAUUGAGUACCCCUAGAGUAGUGGCUACAAAGUUCUUGAACAAUGUUGCCAAAUGUGUGCCAUGUUUAAUGUGCUGAAGCUGUGCACUGUUACCUCAUCAUGAGUUUAGCUGUAAUUUUCAGAUGCAAGUUUUGUUUUGUCUAACCAUUUCUGCAAUACAUAUGAAGGAAGCCAACAGUCACCGAUAACAAGGCAAGCUUAUGGCAACGCUAUUCGUUUUUUUUAUUUGCAGUGUUAGUAGUUGGAAAUUAUUAGCUUAAUUAUUUUCAGAUGUGGUUAGUUAGGAUCCCACUGGCAGCAUGUGGUUUUCUGCUUUCUGAUCAUUUACCUGUCAGCCAUAAAAUGAUUACACUAACAAUUUUCUAUUGUCAGCACCACAAAUUGUUAAACUUAGAAGCAUUCUCCAUGUGGGGCGUUCCUUGGUCUCGGUCACUGUUGGCAUUUUUCAUAUAUGCAUUACAGAAAGGGUUAAACUAUUCAACACUUUCUUAUCUAAAUGUUACAGGUAAACUGUCUUUUGUAUUACAUCAUUAGCUCUUUUUAACUUUCAAUAACUAAGCAAGAUUCUAGUCGUAAAAAAAAAUAAAAGCUCUAGAAGGUUGAUACGUACUUCUCGCUUAUUACGUAGUUACGAAAGCUGAUCUCAUAUACUGUUGUGGUAGGUCAGCGGAGUAUACACGAUGCUGCGGAUCAUUUCCCAUAUGCAAAGUUAGCAACUGUUCUUUUUGAAGUUGAAUGCUGUAUUAAAAUAGGUCAGGUGAUAUGUAUUUGUGUUGCGUUAUUUUACUGACGUUCUUAAUAAAUUUACUUUGAUACCAAAACUAUUCCGCAAUCUUAU